GACGAACGCUGGCGGCGUGCUUAACACAUGCCAGUCGAACGGAAAGGCCCUGCUUUUGUGGGGUGCUCGAGUGGCGAACGGGUGAGUAACACGUGAGUAACCUGCCCUUGACUUUGGGAUAACUUCAGGAAACUGGGGCUAAUACCGGAUAGGAGCUCCUGCUGCAUGGUGGGGGUUGGAAAGUUUCGGCGGUUGGGGAUGGACUCGCGGCUUAUCAGCUUGUUGGUGGGGUAGUGGCUUACCAAGGCUUUGACGGGUAGCCGGCCUGAGAGGGUGACCGGCCACAUUGGGACUGAGAUACGGCCCAGACUCCUACGGGAGGCAGCAGUGGCGAAUAUUGCACAAUGGGCGGAAGCCUGAUGCAGCAACGCCGCGUGCGGGAUGACGGCCUUCGGGUUGUAAACCGCUUUCGCCUGUGACGAAGCGUGAGUGACGGUAAUGGGUAAAGAAGCACCGGCUAACUACGUG
rnacentral:rRNA from 1 species